UACGUAGGGGGCAAGCGUUGUCCGGAUUUAUUGGGCGUAAAGGGCUCGUAGGCGGUUUGUCGCGUCGGGAGUGAAAACCCAGGGCUUAACCCUGGGCUGGCUUCCGAUACGGGCAGACUAGAGGUAUGCAGGGGAGAACGGAAUUCCUGGUGUAGCGGUGAAAUGCGCAGAUAUCAGGAGGAACACCGGUGGCGAAGGCGGUUCUCUGGGCAUUACCUGACGCUGAGGAGCGAAAGUGUGGGGAGCGAACAGG
rnacentral:rRNA from 1 species